UAAUACGUAGGGUGCGAGCGUUAAUCGGAAUUACUGGGCGUAAAGCGUGCGCAGGCGGUUUUGUAAGCCAGAUGUGAAAUCCCCGGGCUCAACCUGGGAAUGGCAUUUGGGACUGCAAGGCUGGAGUGUGGCAGAGGAGACUGGAAUUCCUGGUGUAGCAGUGAAAUGCGUAGAUAUCAGGAGGAAUACCGAUGGCGAAGGCAGGUCUCUGGGCUAACACUGACGCUCAUGCACGAAAGCGUGGGGAGCAAACAGGAUUAGAUACCCUGGUAGUCCACGCCCUAAACGAUGUCGACUGGUUGUUGGGGGUUUGACACUCUCAGUAACGAAGCUAACGCGUGAAGUCGACCGCCUGGGGAGUACGGCCGCAAGGUU
rnacentral:rRNA from 1 species